UCCAGGGAUGGGUUCGGCUUCUCUUCGUCUCGGCAGAGAUUAAACCGCUUUAAUUAGCUCCUCAAGGGGCCCUGGAGAGCCCAGGAGCUCCGUGGUUGUUUCAGGGUGGUGAGGAUGGGAAUGAGCUCAGUGCUGGAGGAGGCAGAGGGAUGUGGAGCCAAGCUUGGGUGGAAAUGCACAGAGAAUCUGCUCUGUCCCCUGCCACAGGUUCCAGGAGAGCACUAAAAAAGCCCUUCAGAUCUCCAAUAUGAAAUUAAAAGACUCGAGCAGAGGGAGAGCAUCAGCUCUCUUUGAGGAGACAUGAGAAGAUGAGCAGCUGGUAAUGAAGAGAUUUUUAAAUGACCCUUCUUUGCCUGUCUCCUGUGUAAAAGAGCAGAGGAAGAGCUGUUGUUAAAGUGACCAAAGCCUGGGAGAGGAAGAUGGACUGGACACCUGGAAUGCAGAAUUUACAGACCACAAGGACACCUUGCAGAAAGCAGAGGCCAAGAAGAUGCUAAAAGAGACUCACCACAUCUUGGAAUUUGGAGGAAG